AUUGAACGCUGGCGGCAGGCCUAACACAUGCAAGUCGAGCGAGCGGCGGACGGGUGAGUAAUGUAUGGGGACUGCCCGAUAGAGGGGGAUAACUACUGGAAACGGUGGCUAAUACCGCAUACUCUCGCAUAACCCAUAUGGGAUUAGCUAGUAGGUGGGGUAAAGGCUCCCCUAGGCGACGAUCGCUAGCGGGUCUGAGAGGAUGAGCAGCCACACUGGGAUGGAGACACGGCCCAGACUACGAGGUAGGCAGCAGUGGGGAAUAGUGAACAAUGGGCGCAAGCAGGAUGCAGCCAUGCCGAGUGUAUGAAGAAGGCCUUAGGGUUGUAAAGUACUUUCAGCGGGGAGGCGUUAACCGCAGAAGAAGCACCGGCUAACUCCGUGACAGCAGCAGCGGUAAUAC
rnacentral:rRNA from 1 species